UACGUAGGGUGCGAGCGUUAAUCGGAAUUACUGGGCGUAAAGCGUGCGUAGGCGGCUUCGCAAGUCAGGCGUGAAAUCCCCGGGCUUAACCUGGGAAUGGCGUCUGAAACUACGGAGCUGGAGUGUGGCAGAGGAGGGUAGAAUUCCACGUGUAGCGGUGAAAUGCGUAGAUAUGUGGAGGAAUACCGAUGGCGAAGGCAGCCUCCUGGGCCAACACUGACGCUCAUGCACGAAAGCGUGGGGAGCAAACAGGAUUGAGAA
rnacentral:rRNA from 1 species